UUCUUGUUGUUUUGUUGUUGUUUAUUUUGUUGUUGUUGUUGUUUUUGUUUUUGUUUUUGUUGAUGUGGUUGUUGUUGUUGUUGUUGUUGUUGUUGUUGUUGUUGUUGUUGUUGUUGUUGUUGUUGUUGUUGUUGUUGUUGUUGUUGUUGUUGUUGUUGUUGUUGUUGUUGUUGUUGUUGUUGUUGUUGUUGUUGUUGUUGUUGUUGUGGUGGUGGUGGUGGUUGUUGUUGUUG
rnacentral:lncRNA from 1 species